rnacentral:rRNA from 1 species
AAAGCGCGCGUAGGCGGUUUGAUAAGCUAGCUGUGAAAGCCCUGGGCUCAACCUGGGAACUGCAGUUAGAACUGUCUGACUAGAGUACAGUAGAGGGUGGCGGAAUUUCCUGUGUAGCGGUGAAAUGCGUAGAUAUAGGAAGGAACAUCAGUGGCGAAGGCGGCCACCUGGACUGAUACUGACGCUGAGGUGCGAAAGCGUGGGGAGCAAACAGGAUUAGAUACCCCUGU